rnacentral:lncRNA from 1 species
UCCAGCCACCGCUCUCAGUUGGCUCCCGGUUGCCUCUACCUCUUGUCCCUUUCUGUAGACGCUCUUUGAGUCUGCAGGACUCUGUUCUUUCCUGCACUUCCCAGUGGCCAGCAGAGGGCGCCUCCAAAAAGACUGAGGCACCGGGGAGGAAACGGGAGAAUCCGCUUCCCUGGAUCCAGGGACAGUCCGUUUAUGUGAAAUGAAACUGACCCAGGACGCCCUCCUUCCUGGGGCUCUAGACUUAACCUGUCAGCAGAGGACUAGAGGUUAGAUCACAGGCUGAACUCAGGUGACUGCCUUAGAAGUGAACCCAGGAUGAGGGAGCUGCCCCCUCCCAACAGCCGGAAUGGGGAAGGGGCAGUGGAGGUCGCCAGCUUUCCUCCCUUGACCCUGGGAGAUGGGUUGGGAGGGGCUGCACAGAAUAGCUGGUGUCCCACCCUCUAGGAGGGGCUGCUGUGGACAUCUGGGCAACAUCUGGAUUCCUGGCAGGACAGGGAACUUGUCUAUUUGAGAUCCUCCAGGGAUAUACCAUCCACCCCUUGGUGGCCCCUCAGCACUACAUUCCUGGGGAGCUCUUUACAAACAGGUGUGUAGGACCCAGCCCCGUAAUGUGGGUGAAUUCAUGCCAAUCUAGGAGGGUCCUGACAUACGUCCUUCGGAUGUGGCCUAGGGGCCUGGGCAGCAGCCUGCUCUUCUGGGCUAUUCCACCUUUCCGCCCUCCUGCCCUCCUGUCGGAGUGCGCACGGUGAGAUGCUUGCCUUCCCUGUGUGGAAAUGCUGGGAAAUAGGAGGCUCUGGUGUCCAUCCUCUCCAUUCCCCUUCCUCCAGGGUUGAACUCCAUGAGCCCCAGCUCGGUUCCAGCUCUGACAUUUCAAGAGCCUUCAUCAGGCUAAAAUAAGCAGUGAGAGGCACGCUGCGGUCAGGAAAGGGCAGCCUGGGACGUGCGUGCGUGGAAGCCGGAGGCUCUCGUGGUGAGGGGGCGUAGAGGGCUAAUUGCAAGUACAUGAGCUCAGCUAGGGGCCACUUUCUCCCCUCCAUGCCCACAGCUGGCUGUGAGUCAUUGACCGGUCAUAGGCCACAGUGGGGCUGCUGGAGACAGGGCAAGCCCCGAGCAUGAACAGAAGACAGUUCAGUCCGGUCCCAGCCUUCGGGGCCUCAGGGGGAUGUGUGCUCUUCCCAGUCCCUGUCUAGACACUACUGCACCCCAGCUAGGAUGGCGUUCCAUCUCUGUCUGCUUGAGCAGAACACCCCUUUCUAUUUCAGCUCUGCCAGCCCUGGCCCUGCACUGCUCAUGUCACAACCUGUGGGCACCUCCUCUGUACCAAGGGUGGAAUAGAGGCAGGGAGAGAGAGAUUUGUAGACACAGCGACUCAGAGACACACAGGGAAGAUGGACACAUGAUGAUGGAGGCAGAGAUUGGAGUGAUGCAGCUGUAAGCCAAGGAACACUGGGGAUUGCCGGCAAAUGCCAGGAGCUAGGAGAGAGGCAUGCAACAGACUCCCUCAGAGCCUCCAGAAGGAACCAAACCUGCUGACACGUUGAUUUUGGACUCUGGCCUCCUUAACUACGAGAGAGUAAAUUUCUGUUGGUUUAAGCCACCAAGUCUGUGGUAAUUUGUUAUGGCAGCUCUGGGAAACGAAUACAGUCACACACACACAUGCACACACACACACACGCACACACACAUGCUGCUGGCUCUAGGCUCAGUGACGAGGUUGGUGGAGUUCCUCUUGGGAGCUGCUCUGCCUCUGUCCUCCUUCCCCUGUGGCUGGUCCCAUGAACCCAAAAAAGCUCAUGGCCCAGGGCAGGAGCAUGAUAAUUUUCAAUCCCUCCUUCCCUCCCUGGAGUUGUUAACUAAGCAUCCCCCUCAAAAUCUGCUCUCAGGCAUGGGUUGCCAUGUUUACGUGCACUGAAAGACAUGUCCAAGAAUGCUAUGGCUGCUUUACUGCUAUUAAUUAAAAACUGGAAACAACCCAAAUGUCUAUCAACAGCAGAAUAGAUAAUAAAUUGUGGCAUAGCCACGCAAUGGAAGGCUGCUCAGCCACUAAAAAGGAAGACCUAAUGCUGCAGGAAUAGCAUGGAUGACCCUCACAGACCCCACACUGACCACACUGGGCCCCAUACAAAGAGUGUAUGCUCUAGGAGUCCGUGUGCGUGAGGUUCAAGAACAAAGCCAACCCGUGGUGAUAAAAGUCAGAAUAGUGGUUACUUCUGAGAGAUGGGGUUGACUGGGAGGGGCUUGAGGGAGCCUCCUGGGGUGCGGGAAUACUCUGUGCGUGAUCUGGGUGGUGGUUACAUGGGCAUAUACAUAUGCACAAGUUUGCCAGAUCUCUUAAGAUUUGUUCAAUUUGAUGCACAAACCUUACAAUUCAAUAAAAAGUAAGUUUUAAAAACUGGGUUCCCGGGAAGUCAAUGACCAGAAGCCACCGGAUAGCAUUGUCUGGUGGGGGCAGCUGCAGGGUUUGCCUUGUCCCCGUGCUGCACUGGUGUCCUCAUGCCUGGGACUGCUUGUGUGACAGACUUUUCAGGAUAUUUGUUGACUAUAAACAUGAAGCCUGGGGCUACCUGGGGAGACCAUGGGGUGUCAAUGCAGCCAGACCUUCCAGAGAUGACCUGUCUCUAGGUGGAAAUAGGGAGUGCACACGAUCCUACUGGAAUCUACUUCCCCAAUUAAAAACCAAAUGUGAUGAUUUCUUUCACAAAAAGCUCACAUUGAAGAAGAACAGCCACCUUUUAUUCAGGUUUUGCUAUCUGCCAGGCAUAGACCAAGUACCUUUGAGGGACACGGCCAUGUUACCAUUUCACAGACAAGAAAACUGAUGCUCCAAGAUGUUGAGUAAAUCCCCAAGGUCACACAGGAAGCUCAACAGAGGGGAUUUGAUGUGAUAGUCUGGGGCUCCCUGAGGGCAGGGCUGUGUCCCCCUCCUACUGGGCUCCGGGAUUUCUAGGCUGGAGGGGUUUAGGGGAGGACUUAUCUGAACCCGACUUUCGUGGCACAUGCACUGCUUUCCUGAAGCGGCUGGGAAGGGGCUGCUGACCUGGCUGCUCUGCUCCUUCUCACCCUGGCUCUCACCACUACGCCUAACUCAGGGCUCUGCCCACAGGUGUGCCAUAGUUUGGGACCAUGGACCUAGGGGUGAGGGAGGGAGGUGGGGGAGGGUGAGCAUCAGAAGGACCUGUCCCUUUGGGGGCUGUGCUGGGAUCAGUGCUGGAGGUGCCCACCCCUUCCCUCCCUUCCUGGCUGGCCCAGUGGGAGUCAGGACUACCCAGCCAAGCCAUCCAGAGGCACACUGAGCGGAGAGCUGGACCCUGCCCCUUGCCAGGAGGACCAGCUGGGAGAGGGACUCCAUUUAAGGAUGUAUGGAGGACAGAGCACAGGGCAGCCCCCAGCAUGCCCAGGCCCAGGUGCUCCUCACCCUGCCCACGCCUCACCAGCAGGAGCUGGGUCAUAUGAUGGGGGCGAGGUGGUAGGUGUAAUAGGAGCUGACAUCCUCUUCGGCCUGCCCUGUGACUAUAUUAAGUUCUGUGCUUGGUCUCCCCUCUCCCCCGCCCCCAGGACUUUCCUUCCUUCCCCAGGGAUCCUGCACUGCAGAUUAAGCAGUCAUUCCUCUCCCCUCCCCACUGUCCUAGGAAGGGGGCUGGAGCCUAAUGAGGUCAGAGCCAGGGGGUAGAGGAGCAGAGGCAGUAAAUUGAGGCCUUGGGUGCUAAUGAGCUGCAGAGGGAAGUGCCUGGGCGGGAGGCCGUGCUCCCGAGGCCUUAGCACCCUCACACUUAAUGUCCCCCACCCACCGCCCACACACAUGGCCCAGGGCUCACACAGAACACCCUUGCAGGCAGCUGAGACAUGGUUUACAUUCCUCCAGGCCAACCAUGGGUACCCCUGCACGUGUGCACCCCCCAGAGCCCGUUAUUACCCUCAUAACACUGUUCAGGAGCUCACGUCUGCACACCCAACUGUACAUGCAGGCACUCUCGCUUGCAGCCCUUUGCACUCAUGUGCAGACCGCCCACCCCUGUUACCAUUUCUCUUAAGCCCUCAGAGUCUGUGGCUGAAGCAGGGGGAGCCCUAUGGCUGCAGUGGGGUGGGGAAUGUAGUCUGGGGGCUACAGGCCAUUUGUAACCCCCGCCUAGAUCUAAGGGCUCAGUCUCCAUCUCCCCACCCCCUUGCAGUGAGACUCCCCACCCCAGGUUGAGGGCAGCGGGUAGGGCAGGGUUUAUUAAUAAACUUGCUCCUGACUGGAAAGGGCUGUGCAGAAGCCCCAACUUCAAGCCAAUCAUAGCAGAACUUUCCAGGAAUGUCACCCCAAAGCAAGCCUUUCUCUGACUCCAGGAUUAUUUCCCACCCCUGACUUCAUCCCCUUGGUGUGUGGGGCUCCUGCCAGGUUCCACUGACUCUGCCCAGCAGGCCUGCUGUCACCUGGCAGCUGACAUCUGCCUUGGCCGCCACCCAGAGAAAGUCACAGGCGGUCGGUAGUGGGGCGGGGAUUAGAACUGCUUCCUCCCUCAUCGAGUUCUACUCCUUGCUCCCCCAAACUGAGGACGGCUGAGCCCACUGUGUUGGGAAUGCAGAAUGGCCUCUGCCUCACCACCAACAGCAUUCUCACGCUGCCCUUGUACCCUGCUCCAAGUGGGGAGGAGCCCUGAAGGCAGAGAGCCCGGGCCAGCUUACUGGCCUUGUGACUUUGGGCAAGCAGAAUAUGACUUGUCUGUGGCUCAUUGUCAUCAUUUAUAAAGUGAGGAUGAAAUUGCCCACCCGAAGGUAGCUGUGAGAAUUAGGAAUGUGUGAUGGCUGGUGUGAACUGCAAAGGACUGUGUACAGGAGUGUAAAGUAAAUAAUAUUUAUGUUCUUGCCUCUAUCACUAAUUGCGUUCCCAUCUUUAUCACCGCCACCACCAUCACUAACACCUCCACUGUCACACCACCAUCUCCUUCCCACCAUCGUUUCAUCUCAUCUUCAGCACCAUCGCACUGCUAUCCUCAUCAGUACUUCCAUCACAACCACCACGUUAUCACCUAUCCAUCCUUCCAAGAACACUGAUUCAACUCCUACCAUGUUCAGGGUCACAUGAGUGGCCCUUUGGAGGUGAGUCCUGCCCUGUGUUCCCCACAUUAGGAACAGCCUAUAUCUCUCCCUUCCCUUAAGCCCUGGCACACAACCCCUCUCUGCCAGGAACCCUUCCUUGAUCUACCCGGCAGUACUCCGAUUACUUCUGUACACUGUGGUCAGCUGUGCCUGUCCCCUCCCUGGCUGGGGAGUGUGUGUGUGUGUGAGAGAGCACUCACACUCUCACUAUUUAAACCAGUUGAUAAAGUCAGCCUCCACCCAGAUCUCCUACACACGGCCUAGUGGCUCUGGGUCUCAAUCCUGGCUCUUAUGUUUUCUAGCUGUGUGACCUGGGACAACCCACUUUCCUUCCUUGUGCCUCAGUCUUCCCAACUGUGAAUUGGAUUAAUAAUAGAUUUAAUAAUCGUCUCAUAUUGCUGUAGUGUGGAUUCCCUGAGAUGUUGUAUAUAGAGUACUUAGAACAGAAGUGGGCACACAGUAAGUGCUUGAUAAACAUUUGCUAUUGUUUAUUAUUAUUGUUGGUCCUUCCUACUGCCAAUGCUUCACACAGGGCUUUGCACUGUCAAUGAGAAUGAAUAUAUUAAUGGAUAUGCUCUGACUUUCCAAUGUAAACAUCUUGGAAGGGAAGGAAGAUUUGAGCCUUUCCGAGAAAUGUGUGGACCCCUGCCUGCUCCCAGAAGGUUCCUGAACUCUGGGCAGUGGGUUAGGAAGGACCAUGCAGGGAGGUUGGAGCCAGGCCCGGCAGAGUUGAGCUUGAAUCCUAACUUCACCAGCUGAGCCACUGUGGGCAAGUCAUCACUUAACCACCUCAAGCCUCGGUUUCCUCAUCUGUCAAGUGGAUCACUGUGCAGGUCCCCUGUGAGACUAUCAUCUCUGUCAGUCUUGAAUGCAGGCGCCACAGGUAGCUGUGGGUGGGAGUCAGGGCCAGUGUACCCUUUGGGCCUCAACCUUCUCAUGCAGAUAGUAGAUGUCCCUGCAGAGCCUGCUUCCUAGAGUAGGUGGAGAAGAUGCUGAGUGGUGGAAACUGCUCAGAAAAGUAAAACACUCUGGAAAAGUUCCAGGGACAGCAUUAAUAAUGAUUGACCCAGCUUGGCCUGACCAGAGAAAAUGCACUGAGGUCUGAGCUGGGUUCCUGGAGCAGGGCAGGGGCCACAAGGGAGGAGGGCCAAGGGGCCCCUAACCACAAGCUCAGGAAGGCCACUCUGUGCUCAGACUCUCACGUGCACCAUGACAUGGUCCAUGGGGAGGGCUGAGGCAGCUGGGACAUGGCGGAGGGGUUGACCCAGGAGACCUACAGGCUUUCCAGGAGUCCCCAGUCCAUUGACGUCCACACAGCUGCAGCCCCCCGAGGAUUGCCUCCACCCUCCUCCGACAGUGGCGCCCUGGCCAUGAACCCCCAGCGAAUAAACAGGGGCAGCAGCGGCUGACUGGUGUGUACUCUCAGCCCCCACAAUGUAAACUCCCGGAAUGUAUUUAUGUUGUCUGGGCCUGGCCCCAGUCCCCUGCCCAGCUUGGAGGGGUCACGCCAUGCCAGACGUCACACAUACAGGGCAGCUGGAUUCCUCCAAGUGGUGGUGGUGGGUGGUAGGGAUAGGCAGGGGGAUGAUGGGGGACAGGGACCAAAGACAGCUGGAGCUGGGUGGCCAGAGGGAGAGUUGCAAAGGGGGAAGGGAAAGCAAGUGUUAGCACUGAGUGCUCAGACUGUGCCCUGUUCCUAGAACUGCAGGUCAGAAUCUUCAUAUCCCUGGCUUGGCCAGUGACCUGGGUCACUCUGUGGCCUUCCAGGGCCAGUCUUGGCCCCAGACUCCGGGGUCAGGGAGCUUAGGGCUCUGCCCAACCCACAACUGGCCUGAGAACUGACCCACUAGGCCUCUCUUUGGUUUACCUUUUCACUACCCUCUGCCGGGCACUGCGCCAAGUCUCUUGUGCACAUUAUCUCAUUUAAGCCUGACCAUCUGCCUGGGGCGGGAGUGGCUGCUCUCCUCAUGACCCCGUGGAAGGUCAAGGGGUAAGUAAGCAGGCUGAGGUAUUGGAGCCUGGAGUGCCCGGCCUGGGAUUAGAACCUGGAUCUGUAACCAGAGUAUCUCUACUCUGAAGAGCCAUGCCAAGCAGGCCGCUGUCCUUGAGGGCAAAGUCACACCAGAGUCACCACUAGAACCCAGGGCUCUUGAGUCCUGGGUCAACUUUCUUCCCACACUAUGCAAAACAGGGUGGUGAGGAAACCCAGCCCAGCUCUCAGGGAGCCCCAGUCUGAGGGGAGACACAGCCCUGCUCUCAGGGAGCCCUGGUCUGAGGGGAGACACGGCUCUGUCCUCAGGGAGCCCCAGUCUGAGGGGGAGCCCCAGACCACGGGAAAUUACUAACUGGACGUACCACUGGGGAGGCAAGUGGAGCCAGAGGGCUUCAUACAGCUGGAGUCAGUGUGGAAGACUUCCUGAGGGAUGGUGCUGGCAGCCCCUUUAGCAAGGAGGAGUUGGGCAAGUGGUGGACAGCUUUGGGUGGCCCUGAAGGCUGGAGCUGCAUUCUCACACUGCCCUGAUUAGGAAAUGAGGCUUAUCCUCCACACCACACUCCCGCCCCCCCCCCACCCCCCCCCCUCCCACCGUUGGGCCUGCCAUUCUGAUUCUGCCCAGCCUGCCUGGGAGGGGCAGGAGGAACACAGCCUUGUGACAAGCAUUCAGCUGGGAGCUGUGCACGUCUCAGGAAUGACACCCAGGGAAGGCUAUUUUAAUCUGGGAAGUUGCCUAUUUUAAUCUGGAAAGUUGCCUGCUCCUCCUGCCCACCCCAAAAUAACCAGGCUCCCAAAGGAAGCUGCAACAUUGUGGGCUGCCACUGGCCUAAUGCAGCCCUCCAGGCCCUGCACCCCCAAUGUGGCCAGCCUCCCUCCUCAGACUGGCCCUCCCCUCUCAGACCAGAGCCCUCCCGUACGGGGGCUGUGUCUCCUCCCUCAGACUGGGGCCUUCGUCAGGGCAGAGGCUGUGUCUCUCAUCAGACCAGGAGCUCCUGGGGUGCAAAGGUUGUAUCUCUCCACCAGCAGCUCCUCAGAACAUUCAGGUCUCUGGAGCCCGCUGCCCUGCAGAAUUUAGGGAUGGGUAGGGGUUCAGGUGGCCUUUUCCUCCUUCUGGGCUGACUUCCAUCUGGAGGAUGCCCUUGUGAUGGAGAAACCGAAUCUCCCUCUCCAUGGCCACAAGGACAGUCAGGGCUGGGGGCUGAGCCCCUUGACACCCUCCACAGCGCAGCAGCCGGGGAGGAGCGGGAGCCCCAUGCCGAGGACAAGGGCAGUAGGGCACGCGGCUGGUAACAGGAGAAGGCCAACGCUUUCCUAUUUUGGGAGGCAGGAGGCAGCAGGUGGCUGGCUGGUGCUUGGACAUGUGAACCCUCCAGUUGGGGGCCAUGUGGCCAGGAGCAGGGGAGCCUGGCACUGCCAAGCAUGGCUGAGGCCCCUCGUGAGCCCUGACUGUCCUCAGAGCUGGAUGACUGGAAGUUGCCAAAGGGCAGUUGCUCUGUACCUGGGCUGGGUACCAAAUGGGGAGGGGGCCCACUAACUUCAGUGUUCCUUGUAGGGAACCAGUGCCCACCGGUCCUGUUAAGAGGAGCCCUACUACCUCAACCCUUCUCUCCCCCCGAGCAUCCAACACAACUCCUGGCAUGGAAGAGGGGCUGGGGGCAGGGGGGUGGCUGCUGACCCAGGUAAUGUCAUUAACUACUGCUUAUUGAGGGCUGAGAAACUGAGGGUCAGAUUUUGAGAAGACCUCCCCUCUCCAAGCCUCCAGUCUAUUCAUCUCACAACCAUUUUUAACUGAGCACAUGCUGUGUCCGAGGGCUGUGCUAGGGCUCCCCAUUAGUCACUAAGCUUAAUCCUUACAGCACCCUACUGAGAGGACUAUAGUUGUACCAUUCAGCUCUGGAGGGAAUGAGGCCCUGAGAGGUUGUACGACUUGCCUAAGAUAACACAGCGAGGAAGUGGUAGUGUUGGCCUUCAAACCCAGUGGUUUGAAGAGUGGCCUCCCAAAAGACUCAUCUGUGUCCAAACUCCUGGAACCUGUGAAUAUGACUAUGGGUUGAAUAGUGUCCCCCCAAAACAUUCAGGUUCACCUGGAACCUCAGAAUGUGCCCUUAUUUGGAAAUAGGGUCUUUGCAGAUGUGCUUCAGUUAAGGCUCUCAAGAUGAGAUCAUCCUGGAUUGAGGGUGGACUCUAAAUAGUGUCCUUAUAAGAAGAGGAGAGGGCAUACACAGAGACACCGGGGAGAAAGCCACGUGAAGACAGAGGCAGAAACUGGAGGGAUGCGGCCACGAGCUCAGCAACUCCGAGGAUUGCCAGGAGCCACCAGAAGCUGGAAGAGGCACUACUCUCCCCUCCCAGAGCCCUUGGAGGGAGCACGGCCCCGCCAACACCUUGAUGUCAGACUUUUAACCUCCAGAACUGUGAGGGAAUAAACUUCUGUUGUUUGAAGCCACCAAGUUUGCGGCAAUUUGUUGUGGUAGCCAUAGGAAACGAAUGCAAGACUCUAUAAUUUACCCAUUUAUUGUAUCUAUUAUCUGUAAACACACUCCUCUCCUCAAAUCUGAGCUCCAACAAGACAGGGAUUUUUGUUUCCU